GAGGGGUGCGCUGGGAGGAUGAAGAUAGGCAGGGAAGCGUGUGUCCUGUUUGGCGGAGAGCGCAUGUCUGCGUCAAGAUAAUGGCUUCUGAAUAAAGCAAAGUGGUGGCGACAAUAGAAUUUGGAUUUAUCCAUCACCACAAACAAGCGUGGUUCAUCAUCCCCACCCCUGGCAUCCUAUGUCAGUACAAGAGAAUGGAGGAACAAUGCUUAGCAAAUAAAAUAAUGAAAAAGUUUGAAGUAUUCUGAAAAUGAAAAUUACCAAAUUGUGACAGAAACACAAAGUGAGCAAAUGAUGGAAAAAUGGCACCAAUAGACUUGCCUAAUGCAGCGUCGCCACAAACCUUGUAAAAAAUGCAAUAUCUGCGGUGCAAUAAAGCGAGGCACAAAAACAAGCCACAGUAAAACAAGUUCUACCAGAUGCUCUGGGUCCAAAUUCAAGAGCCAGGAGGUUACCUCUGGGAGGGUUUGAGAAGUGACCCGGAAGAGGACCCUGAGACCACAGUGCCAGCUAGGUAUCCAAAUUUGCUAUAACCCCCUACCUGUCUACCUUGCAUGGGGAGAGAACGAAUGGUGGAAUCAUGUCCCAGCCCUAGGCUCCAGAAAUUCCAAGAGUGUCACCUGGACUAUAGACAUGAAGCCCACUUCUGAAUCCUGGUAUCUACUGCUGCUAUUACAAGUCUCUCCUCUCCAGUUUUCCCUGCUAGACUUUGUUGACUAUGAAAAUAUAUGUAUUAAGAACUGUGACCUCAAUGUACACACAAAGGAGGAGCCUUUUGCCUUAUGCUUCAUGAUCCAGCAAA